UACGUAGGGUGCGAGCGUUAAUCGGAAUUACUGGGCGUAAAGCGCACGUAGGCGGCUUAGCAAGUCGGAUGUGAAAUCCCUCGGCUCAACCAAGGAAGUGCAUCCGAAACUGCUGAGCUUGAGUACGAAAGAGGAUCGCGGAAUUCCCGGUGUAGAGGUGAAAUUCGUAGAUAUCGGGAGGAACACCAGUGGCGAAGGCGGCGAUCUGGGUCGAUACUGACGCUGAGGUGCGAAAGCGUGGGGAGCAAACAGG
rnacentral:rRNA from 1 species